rnacentral:rRNA from 1 species
GAUGAACGCUAGCGGCAGGCCUAAUACAUGCAAGUCGAGGGGCAGCACGGUUUUCGGACUGGUGGCGACCGGCGCACGGGUGCGUAACGCGUAUACAAUCUACCUAAUACUGGAGGAUAGCCCGAGGAAACUCGGAUUAAUACUUCAUAGUAUCACAGAUAGGCAUCUUGAAGUGAUUAAAGAUUUAUCGGUAUUAGAUGAGUAUGCGUCUGAUUAGUUAGUUGGUGAGGUAACGGCUCACCAAGACAGCGAUCAGUAGGGGUUCUGAGAGGAUGAUCCCCCACACUGGCACUGAGAUACGGGCCAGACUCCUACGGGAGGCAGCAGUAGGGAAUAUUGGUCAAUGGGCGAGAGCCUGAACCAGCCAUGCCGCGUGCAGGAUGACGGCCUUCUGGGUUGUAAACUGCUUUUAUACGGGAAGAAAAAGCUCAUGCGUGAGCAA